AGGGACCUCAGCUGAUCAUGAGGUGCCAGUCCCUCUUAGAGGCUGACUCAUCCCAGAGCGUGUUGUUGUAGGAUCAUCGCUGUGGAAGGUGACAGUUGACAGAGAGCCUUCUCAUUGGCUCAGUGCUGUAGAAGAACACUGGCUGGUCCACACCAUCUUUCCUUUCCCUCAGCAGAUGAUACAUGGACACCCAGAUCAGUCUCUCAGAGCUCUCCCAGCUCAAGGCCUGUCUCUCAAGUGCAGUGGCAGAAACACGAACCCAAAGAACACUCACGGCCUCCAGACAAUUUAAUGUGCAGCCACACCUCCCUGGGAACUGCUGUUGGCCCCUACAGUAGACUUCAAGGUCAGCAUGGAGCUGUCUGUGCCACUUCUGAGAAUACUGACGACUGGGGGAAAUGCAGGAAUAAAGUUACCUUCCUGAAUGGG
rnacentral:lncRNA from 1 species